rnacentral:rRNA from 1 species
AUUGAACGCUGGCGGCAGGCUUAACACAUGCAAGUCGAGCGGAGAGAGGUAGCUUGCUACUGAUCUUAGCGGCGGACGGGUGAGUAAUGCUUAGGAAUCUGCCUAUUAGUGGGGGACAACAUUUCGAAAGGAAUGCUAAUACCGCAUACGUCCUACGGGAGAAAGCAGGGGAUCUUCGGACCUUGCGCUAAUAGAUGAGCCUAAGUCGGAUUAGCUAGUUGGUGGGGUAAAGGCCUACCAAGGCGACGAUCUGUAGCGGGACUGAGAGGAUGAUCCGCCACACUGGGACUGGAACACGGCCCAGAACCCUACGGGAGGCAGCAGUGGGGAAUAUUGGACAAGGGGCGGAAGCCUGAUCAAGCCAAGCCGCGUGUGUGAAGAAGGCCUUAUGGUUGUAAAGCACUUUAAGCGAGGAGGAGGCUAAUUUAGUUAAUACCGAGAGAUAGUGGACGUUACUCGCAGAAUAAGCACCGGCUAACUCUGUGCCAGCAGCCGCCGUAAAAC